rnacentral:rRNA from 1 species
GUCCAGACUCCUACGGGAGGCAGCAGUGGGGAAUAUUGCACAAUGGGGGAAACCCUGAUGCAGCGACGCCGCGUGAGUGAAGAAGUAUUUCGGUAUGUAAAGCUCUAUCAGCAGGGAAGAUAAUGACGGUACCUGACUAAGAAGCCCCGGCUAACUACGUGCCUGCAGCCGCGGUAAUACGUAGGGGGCAAGCGUUAUCCGGAUUUACUGGGUGUAAAGGGUGCGUAGGUGGCAUGGCAAGUCAGAAGUGAAAGCCCGGGGCUCAACCCCGCGGACUGCUUUUGAAACUGUCAGGCUGGAGUACAGGAGAGGUAAGCGGAAUUCCUAGUGUAGCGGUGAAAUGCGUAGAUAUUAGGAGGAACACCAGUGGCGAAGGCGGCUUACUGGACUGUAACUGACACUGAGGCACGAAAGCGUGGGGAGCAAACAGGAUUAGAUACCCGAGUAU